UACGUAGGGUGCAAGCGUUAAUCGGAAUUACUGGGCGUAAAGCGUGCGCAGGCGGCUGAUGUAAGACAGGUGUGAAAUCCCCGGGCUUAACCUGGGAACUGCAUUUGUGACUGCAUCGCUGGAGUGCGGCAGAGGGGGAUGGAAUUCCGCGUGUAGCAGUGAAAUGCGUAGAUAUGCGGAGGAACACCGGUGGCGAAGGCAAUCCCCUCGGGCCUGCACUCGACGCUCAUGCACGAAAGCGUGGGAGCAAACAGG
rnacentral:rRNA from 1 species